rnacentral:rRNA from 1 species
UAGAUGCGAGAGUAGAGCAUAUCAAUAAGCGGAGGAAAAGAAACUAACAAGGAUUCCCUUAGUAACGGCGAGUGAAGCGGGAAGAGCUCAAAUUUGAAAUCUUCAAGGUUCUACCUUGACGAAUUGUAGUUUAAAGAAGUGUUUUCUGUUAGAUGAGUAGCAAAAGUUCCUUGGAAUGGGACAUCAUAGAGGGUGAGAAUCCCGUAUUUGGUUAUUCAUUCUAGCUUUGUGAUACACUUUCAAAGAGUCGGAUUGUUUGGGAAUGCAGUCCAAAAUGGGUGGUAAAUUUCAUCUAAAGCUAAAUAUUGGCGAGAGACCGAUAGCGAACAAGUACCGUGAGGGAAAGAUGAAAAGAACUUUGAAAAGAGAGUUAAACAGUACGUGAAAUUGUCAAAAGGGAAGCGUUUGACACCAGUGUUGUUUUUCCGAAAAUCAAUUACGAAUGGCUUGAUUUUGUGUUGUAUUGACCUUAUCAGCUUUCUGCACUUUUUUCGAGUCUUUCUUAAUGCACUUUUCGGUUAACAAGUCAACAUCAAUUUCUUUUGUUGUAAAAGAGUAUUCGGAAGGUGGCUUUCUUUUCGGAGAAAGUGUUUAUAGCCCUAUACUUCUACAAUCGGAGAGAUUGAGGUCUGCAGCGUAGAUCCUUCGGGGUUAGAUACACUUGUGCUAAGUUGUAGCUUUUCAUAGACAACUUGUUGACUAUGUUUAGUCAUGCUGACUUACUCGCUUAUGCUAUUUUACCUACGCUUAGGAUGUUGAGCGCAUGUCUCUCUCU